CACCGCCCGUCACAUCAUGAAAGUCGGCUGUACCCGAAGUCUGCGUGUUAACCGUAAGGGAACAGCAGCCGAAGGUAUGGCUGGUGAUUGGGAUG
rnacentral:rRNA from 1 species